rnacentral:lncRNA from 1 species
UGGCUGCCCACUUUAUUACCUCCAUCCUCUAAGCUUUUCUCUUUCUAUUAUUGAAGUAUGAACCAAGGAGCCAUACUUCUCCUUCGUUGCAAAAUCACUUUUGCUUCGUUACAAAUAAUUUUCAUAGUGCAGCACUUUUAAUUUUUAGUUAAAAGAUUAAAAAAUUGAAUGUCCAAUUUUUAGUCUUUUGAUCUCAAAAAUUUUAAUGCUUUCUUUUAGUAAUAGUAAAUUUACUUUGUACUUUAGAGUAUAAUCUGAAUUCUCUGAAAUUUAUAGGCAUUUUGUUUCGAUUGUGUAUUUGAAGAUUUC